UAAUACGGAGGGUGCAAGCGUUGUUCGGAAUUAUUGGGCGUAAAGAGCGUGUAGGCGGUCCGGUAAGUCAGAUGUGAAAGCCCUGGGCUCAACCCAGGAAGUGCAUUUGAAACUACCAGACUUGAGUACGGGAGAGGAGGGGGGAAUUCCCGGUGUAGAGGUGAAAUUCGUAGAUAUCGGGAGGAAUACCAGUGGCGAAGGCGCCCCUCUGGACCGAUACUGACGCUGAGACGCGAAAGCGUGGGGAGCAAACAGGAUUAGAUACCCUGGUAGUCCACGCCGUAAACGAUGAGCACUAGGUGUAGCGGGUAUUGACCCCUGCUGUGCCGUAGCUAACGCAUUAAGUGCUCCGCCUGGGGACUACGGUCGCAAGACUA
rnacentral:rRNA from 1 species